GCGCUGGACCGUGUACAAGUCUCCUGGAAUGGAGCGUCAUAGAGGGUGAGAAUCCCGUCUUUGACACGGACUGCCAGGGCUUUGUGAUGCGCUCUCAAAGAGUCGAGUUGUUUGGGAAUGCAGCUCAAAAUGGGUGGUAAAUUCCAUCUAAAGCUAAAUAUUGGCGAGAGACCGAUAGCGAACAAGUACCGUGAGGGAAAGAUGAAAAGAACUUUGGAAAGAGAGUUAAACAGUACGUGAAAUUGCUGAAAGGGAAACGCUUGAAGUCAGUCGCGUUGUCCAGGGAUCAACCUUGCUUUUGCUUGGUGUACUUUCUGGUUGACGGGUCAGCAUCAAUUUUGACUGUUGGAAAAAGGUCAAGGGAAUGUGGCAUCUUUAGAUGUGUUAUAGCCCUUGGUUGCAUACAAUGGUUGGGAUUGAGGAACUCAGCACGCCGCAAGGCCGGGUAUUAACCACGUACGUGCUUAGGAUGCUGGCAUAAUGGCUUUAAUCGACCCGUCUUGAAACACGGACCAAGGAGUCUAACAUGCCUGCGAGUGUUUGGGUGGAAAACCCGAGCGCGUAAUGAAAGUGAAAGUUGAGAUCCCUGUCGUGGGGAGCAUCGACGCCCGGACCAGACCUUUUGUGACGGUUCCGCGGUAGAGCAUGUAUGUUGGGACCCGAAAGAUGGUGAACUAUGCCUGAAUAGGGUGAAGCCAGAGGAAACUCUGGUGGAGGCUCGUAGCGAUUCUGACGUGCAAAUCGAUCGUCAAAUUUGGGUAUAGGGGCGAAAGACUAAUCGAASCAUCUAGUAGCUGGUUCUGCGAU
rnacentral:rRNA from 1 species